rnacentral:rRNA from 2 species
GGGUUGUGAGGUUAAGCGACUAAGCGUACACGGUGGAUGCCCUGGCAGUCAGAGGCGAUGAAGGACGUGCUAAUCUGCGAAAAGCGUCGGUAAGGUGAUAUGAACCGUUAUAACCGGCGAUGUCCGAAUGGGGAAACCCAGUGCAAUUCGUUGCACUAUCGUUAACUGAAUACAUAGGUUAACGAGGCGAACCGGGGGAACUGAAACAUCUAAGUACCCCGAGGAAAAGAAAUCAACCGAGAUUCCCCCAGUAGCGGCGAGCGAACGGGGAGCAGCCCAGAGUCUGAAUCAGCUUGUGUGUUAGUGGAACGGUCUGGAAAGUCCGACGGUACAGGGUGAUAGUCCCGUACACCAAAAUGCACAGGUUGUGAACUCGAAGAGUAGGGCGGGACACGUGGUAUCCUGUCUGAAUAUGGGGGGACCAUCCUCCAAGGCUAAAUACUCCUGACUGACCGAUAGUGAACCAGUACCGUGAGGGAAAGGCGAAAAGAACCCCGGCGAGGGGAGUGAAAAAGAACCUGAAACCGUGUACGUACAAGCAGUGGGAGCACCUUCGGGUGUGACUGCGUACCUUUUGUAUAAUGGGUCAGCGACUUAUAUUCUGUAGCAAGGUUAACCGUAUAGGGGAGCCGCAGGGAAACCGAGUCUUAACUGGGCGUUAAGUUGCAGGGUAUAGACCCGAAACCCGGUGAUCUAGCCAUGGGCAGGUUGAAGGUUGGGUAACACUAACUGGAGGACCGAACCGACUAAUGUUGAAAAAUUAGCGGAUGACUUGUGGCUGGGGGUGAAAGGCCAAUCAAACCGGGAGAUAGCUGGUUCUCCCCGAAAGCUAUUUAGGUAGCGCCUCGUGAAUUCAUCUUCGGGGGUAGAGCACUGUUUCGGCUAGGGGGUCAUCCCGACUUACCAACCCGAUGCAAACUACGAAUACCGAAGAAUGUUAUCACGGGAGACACACGGCGGGUGCUAACGUCCGUCGUGAAGAGGGAAACAACCCAGACCGCCAGCUAAGGUCCCAAAGUCAUGGUUAAGUGGGAAACGAUGUGGGAAGGCACAGACAGCCAGGAUGUUGGCUUAGAAGCAGCCAUCAUUUAAAGAAAGCGUAAUAGCUCACUGGUCGAGUCGGCCUGCGCGGAAGAUGUAACGGGGCUAAACCAUGCACCGAAGCUGCGGCAGCGACACUAUGUGUUGUUGGGUAGGGGAGCGUUCUGUAAGCCUGCGAAGGUGUGCUGUGAGGCAUGCUGGAGGUAUCAGAAGUGCGAAUGCUGACAUAAGUAACGAUAAAGCGGGUGAAAAGCCCGCUCGCCGGAAGACCAAGGGUUCCUGUCCAACGUUAAUCGGGGCAGGGUGAGUCGACCCCUAAGGCGAGGCCGAAAGGCGUAGUCGAUGGGAAACAGGUUAAUAUUCCUGUACUUGGUGUUACUGCGAAGGGGGGACGGAGAAGGCUAUGUUAGCCGGGCGACGGUUGUCCCGGUUUAAGCAUGUAGGCUGGUUGUCCAGGCAAAUCCGGAUAAUCAAGGCUGAGGUGUGAUGACGAGGCACUACGGUGCUGAAGUAACAAAUGCCCUGCUUCCAGGAAAAGCCUCUAAGCAUCAGGUAACAUUAAAUCGUACCCCAAACCGACACAGGUGGUCAGGUAGAGAAUACCAAGGCGCUUGAGAGAACUCGGGUGAAGGAACUAGGCAAAAUGGUGCCGUAACUUCGGGAGAAGGCACGCUGGUGUGUAGGUGAAGUCCCUGCGGAUGGAGCUGAGACCAGUCGAAGAUACCAGCUGGCUGCAACUGUUUAUUAAAAACACAGCACUGUGCAAACACGAAAGUGGACGUAUACGGUGUGACGCCUGCCCGGUGCCGGAAGGUUAAUUGAUGGGGUUAUCCGUAAGGAGAAGCUCUUGAUCGAAGCCCCGGUAAACGGCGGCCGUAACUAUAACGGUCCUAAGGUAGCGAAAUUCCUUGUCGGGUAAGUUCCGACCUGCACGAAUGGCGUAAUGAUGGCCAGGCUGUCUCCACCCGAGACUCAGUGAAAUUGAACUCGCUGUGAAGAUGCAGUGUACCCGCGGCAAGACGGAAAGACCCCGUGAACCUUUACUAUAGCUUGACACUGAACAUUGAGCCUUGAUGUGUAGGAUAGGUGGGAGGCUUUGAAGCGUGGACGCCAGUCUGCGUGGAGCCAACCUUGAAAUACCACCCUUUAAUGUUUGAUGUUCUAACGUUGGCCCCUUACCGGGGUUGCGGACAGUGUCUGGUGGGUAGUUUGACUGGGGCGGUCUCCUCCCAAAGCGUAACGGAGGAGCACGAAGGUUAGCUAAUCCUGGUCGGACAUCAGGAGGUUAGUGCAAUGGCAUAAGCUAGCUUGACUGCGAGCGUGACGGCGCGAGCAGGUGCGAAAGCAGGUCAUAGUGAUCCGGUGGUUCUGAAUGGAAGGGCCAUCGCUCAACGGAUAAAAGGUACUCCGGGGAUAACAGGCUGAUACCGCCCAAGAGUUCAUAUCGACGGCGGUGUUUGGCACCUCGAUGUCGGCUCAUCACAUCCUGGGGCUGAAGUAGGUCCCAAGGGUAUGGCUGUUCGCCAUUUAAAGUGGUACGCGAGCUGGGUUUAGAACGUCGUGAGACAGUUCGGUCCCUAUCUGCCGUGGGCGCUGGAGAAUUGAGGGGGGCUGCUCCUAGUACGAGAGGACCGGAGUGGACGCAUCACUGGUGUUCGGGUUGUCAUGCCAAUGGCACUGCCCGGUAGCUAAAUGCGGAAGAGAUAAGUGCUGAAAGCAUCUAAGCACGAAACUUGCCCCGAGAUGAGUUCUCCCUGAGACUUUAAGUCUCCUGAAGGAACGUUAAAGACGAUGACGUUGAUAGGCCGGGUGUGUAAGCGCAGCGAUGCGUUGAGCUAACCGGUACUAAUGAACCGUGAGGCUUAACCUUACAACGCCGAAG